CCUAUCGGUACUAUUCUGUUUCCAACAAAGUAAACAGCUAAAACACUGCACAUCCAGACUCCUGCCACUUUAAACCACUUCAAAAACCAGCAGUGGGCAUAGUGGUUGGAGUAACCAUUUAAUUAUUCUCAUGAAGGCUAUUUGAAGUCAGGUGUAUGCUAGCUAAACAGUGAAUUGUAAACUGAAUUUUACAUUUGAUCUCCAGGUCAGCUGGUUAUUUUGACCUACAAUAUACAUUUUCAUUGCCCCACAAUUCACUGUUUAGUAAACAAAACCCCGUAGCAUACAGCUUUCAAACUCUAGCUCAUAACAGAGUUUUAGCAUGCGUGGAAGUCAGGCAUUAUAUUAUCCAAUAUGAAUAGAAAAUCAGAAUAUAUCAACAAUCCAU